rnacentral:lncRNA from 12 species
CCUUGCUGGUCACUCGGGGCUUGAGCCAGCUGAGUGGACUCUGUGGGAAGUGACUGGUCCUGGUGGCUCUCCCAGCCCCACCUCCUCCCAAGCACUGCUGAGGGUGCCCGGGCAAAGGCUCCGGCCAAUGUCCUUUGCUGGGGGCCGUGUGACACCCCAAGUUCAGGAGAGCUGGACCUGCUUCGCGUUUGCUUGUCCUUUUAAUCAGAGCAGCACUGGAGGUUCUGAUUGCUAAUCAGGGAGCACGAGGCAGAUAGAGCUCCGCAUCGUCAAACUGCCAUCAAGGUGCCUCUCUCUGUUUUCGAGAGCUGGGAAGCCAACAACAUGCUCAGGAAAUUGUUAUUUGUAUGGGGCGAGUCUUGGGGAGAAAAACACUCCUGACAUACUCUAUCUUUUCAAAGGCAGAUUUGAGGAUAAAAGUCUGUGAGUGGGAGAAAAUAGCAGUUCUAAAUGCAGCGAGGGAAAGCGAGGAUUGAUCGUCAAGGAGCAGGUGGGCGUCGGGGUUGGAAAUUCCCGGGGAAACAUCCGGGCUCUGGGGGAUUCUGGUGGGCUUCCUGCCCGGAGCCCCUCACACACGAGGGACGUCUUCCCGCUGAAGUCAGCAGGCUCGUCACCAGCACUGGACCGGCAGGGGGAACACAGACGCCGGAAAGCCAGGAUCGUCGCCGGCCCUGAUGGAUGACGCUGUGACCCCCGAUUCGACGUAGGGGCCGUUUACUACGAGCAGGGUUUAUUCCACAUCUGUGUGCGGUGCUUCUGUGUCCUGCACCGAUGACCCGUCCCAGCCAAGGCCUCCCGCUUGGUUUGAAUGACAGAAAACGCGUGGAAGCAGGCAGGAGAGGCAGCUCGUGGGCACGCCCAGGUUCGCCACCAGCGCUGGUCGGCAAACGGGCCAUCGUGGCCUCUGGAGGCCUCUUCCCCGAC